GCCAGAGUGGUGUAGUGGUUUGAGUGCUGGACUAGAACUCUGGAGACCAGAGUUCAAAUCCCUGUUCAGCUA